UACGUAGGGUGCAAGCGUUGUCCGGAAUUAUUGGGCGUAAAGGGCUCGUAGGCGGUUUGUCGCGUCUGCUGUGAAAACCCGAGGCUCAACCUCGGGCCUGCAGUGGGUACGGGCAGACUAGAGUGCGGUAGGGGAGAUUGGAAUUCCUGGUGUAGCGGUGGAAUGCGCAGAUAUCAGGAGGAACACCAAUGGCGAAGGCAGAUCUCUGGGCCGUAACUGACGCUGAGGAGCGAAAGCAUGGGGAGCGAACAGG
rnacentral:rRNA from 1 species